CAGAUUGAAAUAAGGGAACAGAAAGUGGGUGUUUAUUGUUUGCGCAAACAAGGAGCAAUGUGGGGCCUAGAAGCCAAAAGACCAUCAGCUCCCUGCAUUUAUGUCCUCAAGUUCCCAGGGGGCAGGGAUUGGCGCCUGACAUCCGGAACCCCCAGCCCUCCCACGCCCAAAUUGGAGAUCUUGGUGCUGAGUCAUGCGGCAAAGGAAGUUGCAUUGUGAGACAUCUUGCUUUGCAAAGGGGCUCAGAUUCUUCCCCUCCGGUGAUGCUCAUGUCCAGGGUCAGGUAAGGACACGGUUCCUUAGGUCCUCUGCAUGCACCAAGAUUCUGGCUUGCACAUUCACAGAAAUCCAGCGCCAAAUUCAAAUUACGGUGUAGUAGGGCCAAACCACAGCUUGGCAGGCUAUGAGCGGAAGUGAGAGGAACGGCUCCGGAGCAGGGGAAGCCUGGUGGAGGCUUCAUACGCACCAAAAUAUUAACUGGUUGCCAUUGAAUCAGUUCCGACUCAUAGUGACCCUAUAGGACAGAAGGCGGGCUGCCACAUCUUUCUCCUGCAGAGCAGCUGGUGGGUUCCAACUGUCAACCUUUCAGUUAGCAGUUGAGUGCUUAAUCACUCUACCACCAGGGCUCAUUCUAAAACAUUAACCAUGAUCAUCUCUGGUCAGAGGGAACCCAGCCUCCUAAAUACCCACAUCCAGCGGUAACGACUCGUCCUUCAUUGAGAGGCCUUCUGCCUGCGAUGCCCUUGCCUGCCCUCCUCAUGUCUCCCCCAGCCUGACCGGGCUCCAAUAUGAUCCUGGAGGGUGCUGCCCACAACAUGGUCUGAAACAAAAGCUUCCUUUCGUGAAGAAAGAAGGA